UCCAAAUAAAAAACUACAGUCGAAGUGCUUACCUGGACAUUUUACAUCAAAUAAUACCUGAUACUACACAUUAGGGUACAUUAGGGUGCAUUGCCCUAUAGUGGGACACUGCCCAAUGUAGGACACUUAAGGUGUAGUGUUUGUAGCUCCCUCCUAAAUAAAUGAAUGACAGUGAAAUGUCAUUUUCAGUCAAGUUUUAGGACUAAUGAUCAUUAUUAUUUGUAAGCACAACAGUUGUACAAACAAUCAGCCGUUUAACACUCAACCAUCAUUUAAAUAAUCUGUAGAAAAAUAUAUUUAGCAUCAUUAUGUUGUCACAAUUAAAAGACAAUGAAACGUGAUGUAAAAACACAUGUAUUUCAAACAGACACCACCAGAACACGAUAACACUAAAACAUAACAAUGUGCUAUACACUACUAAAACAGCUACCUCUCCACAUCAGAGGAACACAUGUGAACACCUCUUACAUUGGUGUGAGUCAUGAUAACCCACAUCACACAUUUCGAGAUCCUAGAAUUACAAAAAGUGUUUCUUAGAAGGCCUACUCGACGACGGGCCAUAGAAUUCUAUGACGAAAAAAGCCCCCCACGCGACAUGUCAAAGAAUUCAACAAUGCACAACCCGCUUUUUUAUUUAAUGUACUGUCCUAAAUACUUUACAUAGCUACCAAGACACAAUAAUAACAGUAAAAACAACCCAGUUCAAACUUUUACUUUUAAGAUUGAUUCCUAAUGUGCUGUCUGUGUUUGUUUGUGAUAGCUGUUCAUGACUCACGUCCUGUCCUGAAAAUAAGUCCAUUGUUCAUCUUAGCUUGUUUACACAAGCUAAAACAGAUUAACUAGCACAGUUCUCUGUGCUGAGUGGCUCAUUUAUAAAAUUAUGUAAACAUUUUGAGAAAAGAAAAGUGUGAACUUACAAUAAAUUUGUGUCACAUAGCCAAAAUGAGGAAAUUACACGGGUGAGGUCUGAGAAGCGGCGUACACAUUCAAACGCAUGACCGCAGUGUCUGCCGGAUAAACGUGAAUUAGAAUGCAGAGUAGAUACAUUUUUUUAAUAGCGACCAUAAAAAAAAAAACAUCUUGUCCUGCUUGCAAUCUGUAAAUCUGGAGUUCAAAGCUGCAGCGGUUACGUCAUAGUCAUGUUUGUAUUACAUAACAACAAUCAACGCAACAGUGCAAAUACCUUAAAAACAAAGGAGCAGACGAGCAAGACUGUUUGGAUAAAGAGGACUACACAUUUUGGAUUACAGAUAUUUUCUUAAAUUGACACUUGCAAGAAGGCCCGGAUCAUCACCACUACAAGAUACCAUUUGAUCUGUUGGGAAAGGACAACAGCAAAAGUCUAUGUGGGAGAAACAAUAUCUGAAUUAGAACAAUGAUGUUCAGGUCAUGUUCAUGCUCAGGUCAUACCCACUAACUCUUACCCAGACUCACCUAGACCAGGACCUUCUCCAGAUCCCUCGGAACCUUCAGAAAACA